rnacentral:rRNA from 1 species
AGAGUUUGAUGGUGGCUCAGAUUGAACGCUGGCGGCAGGCCUAACACAUGCAAGUCGAACGCGAAAGCACUUCGGUGUGAGUAGAGUGGCGGACGGGUGAGUAACGCGUGGGAAUCUACCUAGUAGUGGAGGAUAACUCGGGGAAACUCGAGCUAAUACUGCAUACGCCCUACGGGGGAAAGCGGGGGAUCUUCGGACCUCGCGCUAUUGGAUGAGCCCGCGUUAGAUUAGCUUGUUGGUGAGGUAAUGGCUCACCAAGGCGACGAUCUAUAGCUGGUCUGAGAGGAUGAUCAGCCACAUUGGGACUGAGACACGGCCCAAACUCCUACGGGAGGCAGCAGUGGGGAAUAUUGCGCAAUGGGCGAAAGCCUGACGCAGCCAUGCCGCGUGUGUGAAGAAGGCCUUCGGGUUGUAAAGCACUUUCAAUAGGGAGGAAAGGUUGUAGCUUAAUACGCUGCAACUGUGACGUUACCUAUAGAAGAAGCACCGGCUAACUCCGUGCCAGCAGCCGCGGUAAUACCGAGGGUGCGAGCGUUAAUCGGAAUUACUGGGCGUAAAGCGCGCGUAGGCGGCUUCGUCAGUCAGAUGUGAAAGCCCCGGGCUCAACCUGGGAACUGCAUUUGAUACUGCGGAGCUAGAGUAUGGUAGAGGAUAGUGGAAUUCCAGGUGUAGCGGUGAAAUGCGUAGAUAUCUGGAGGAACAUCAGUGGCGAAGGCGACUGUCUGGACCAAUACUGACGCUGAGGUGCGAAAGCGUGGGGAGCAAACAGGAUUAGAUACCCUGGUAGUUCCA